rfam:Schistosoma curassoni strain Dakar, Senegal genome assembly, scaffold: SCTD_scaffold0001544
ACACUGCUGAGGAGUCCCACAACAGGAUGAAGUGGCCGUCCAGUGU